AAUACAAUCUUUAACAUUGCCACCAGCGAUAUUUGGAAGAAGAAAUAUUCUUGGAGCUGCUGAAAAAGGCAGUGGGAAAACUUAAGCAUUUGGUAUUCCUCUAUUUUAAAUGGCAUAUUAGAAUUAAAGAAAAAACAUUUAUACACACAGAAAACAAGAUGAUGGAUUAGAAAAUGAAAGCAAUGAGGAAGAAUUGGAAUGUUCCAACGAUGAAGUAGAUAGAAACUGAAAGAUUCUGCUAAGAAGUAUGACGAA
rnacentral:lncRNA from 1 species